UACGUAGGGGGCUAGCGUUGUCCGGAAUCAUUGGGCGUAAAGAGCGUGUAGGCGGUCCGGUAAGUCCGCUGUGAAAGUCGGGGGCUCAACCCUCGAAUGCCGGUGGAUACUGUCGGACUAGAGUACGGAAGAGGCGAGUGGAAUUCCUGGUGUAGCGGUGAAAUGCGCAGAUAUCAGGAGGAACACCAAUUGCGAAGGCAGCUCGCUGGGACGUUACUGACGCUGAGACGCGAAAGCGUGGGGAGCAAACAGG
rnacentral:rRNA from 1 species